UACCAGCACCCCCGAGUGGUCGGGACGAUUAUUGGGGCCUAAAGCAUCCGUAGCCGGUUCUGCAAGUCCCCCGUUAAAUCCAGCUGCUCAACAGAUGGGGCCCGCGGAGGAUACUACAGAGCUAGGAGGGCAGGGAGAGGCAAGCGGUACUCAGUGGGGUAGGGGUAAAAUCCGUUGAUCCAUUGGAAGAACCACCAGUGGCGAAGGCGGCUUGCCCAGAAUGCGCUCGACGGUGAGGGGAUGAAAGCUGGGGGAGCAAACCGG
rnacentral:rRNA from 1 species